rnacentral:rRNA from 1 species
GAUGAACGCUGUCGGCGUGCCUAAUACAUGCAAGUCGAGCGAACUGAUUAGAAGCUUGCUUCUAAGACGUUAGCGGCGGACGGGUGAGUAACACGUGGGCAACCUGCCUGUAAGACUGGGAUAACUUCGGGAAACCGAAGCUAAUACCGGAUAGGAUCUUCUCCUUCAUGGGAGAUGAUUGAAAGAUGGUUUCGGCUAUCACUUACAGAUGGGCCCGCGGUGCAUUAGCUAGUUGGUGAGGUAACGACUCCCCAAGGCAACGAUGCAUUGCCGACCGGAGAGGGUGAUCGGCAACACUGGGACUGAGACACGGCCCAGAAUCCGACUGGAGGCAGCAGUAGGGAAUCUUCCGCAAUGGACGAAAGUCUGACGGAGCAACGCCGCGUGAGUGAUGAAGGCUUUCGGGUCGUAAAACUCUGUUGUUAGGGAAGAACAAGUACAAGAGUAACUGCUUGUACCUUGACGGUACCUAACCAGAAAGCCACGGCUAACUACGUGCCAGCCGCCGCCGUAAGAC